GACGAACGCUGGCGGCGUGCUUAACACAUGCAAGUCGAACGAUGAAGCCGGAGCUUGCUCUGGUGAAUUAGUGGCGAACGGGUGAGUAACACGUGAGUAACCUGCCCUUGACUCUGGGAUAACUGCUGGAAACGGUAGCUAAUACUGGAUACGACCUACGAAGGCAUCUUCUGUAGGUGGAAAGAAUUUCGGUUCGGGAUGGACUCGCGGCCUAUCAGCUUGUUGGUGAGGUAAUGGCUCACCAAGGCGACGACGGGUAGCCGGCCUGAGAGGGUGAUCGGCCACACUGGGACUGAGACACGGCCCAGACUCCUACGGGAGGCAGCAGUGGGGAAUAUUGCACAAUGGGCGCAAGCCUGAUGCAGCAACGCCGCGUGAGGGAUGACGGCCUUCGGGUUGUAAACCUCUUUUAGUAGGGAAGGAGCGAAAGUGACAGUACCUGCAGAAGAAGCACCGGCUAACUACGUGCCAGCCGCCGCUGUAA
rnacentral:rRNA from 1 species